GUUUUCUCAAUAUAAUAGUAUAUUAAGCAUAACAUAAGCAAUUAAGAUAUGUAAGUAGGAAUAAAAGUAAGAAAUUAGAAUAGCUUCUAUAUGUAAAAUUAGUUAAAUUUUCUUAGAAGUAAUAAUAGCAUUUAAGAGAAUCUAAUAAUGUACAACCCUUGUAAACAAAAUAAAAUAGAAUUAAGAAAGUAUGUAAACAUGUAUGCACAAAAAAAACAAACCCUGUAAAUAAAAUUAUUAUACCUAAAC
rnacentral:misc_RNA from 1 species